rnacentral:rRNA from 1 species
GUGCCAGCAGCCGCGGUAAUACGGAGGAUGCAAGCGUUAUCCGGAUUUAUUGGGUUUAAAGGGUGCGUAGGCUGUGCUGCAAGUCAGGGGUGAAAGCCCAGUGCCUAACACUGGAACUGCCUUUGAUACUGCAGCGCUGGAAUACGGAUGCCGUGGGAGGAAUGAGUAGUGUAGCGGUGAAAUGCAUAGAUAUUACUCAGAACACCGAUUGCGAAGGCAUCUCACGAAUCCGUCAUUGACGCUGAGGCACGAAAGCGUGGGGAACUCAAACAGGAUUAGAUACCCUGGUAGUCCACGCAGUAAACGAUGAUAACUAACCGUCGGCGAUAGACAGUCGGUGGCCAAGCGAAAGCGAUAAGUUAUCCACCUGGGGAGUACGUUCGCAAGAAUGAAACUCAAAGGAAUUGACGGGGGCCCGCACAAGCGGAGGAACAUGUGGUUUAAUUCGAUGAUACGCGAGGAACCUUACCCGGGCUCGAACGGCUAGUGAACGAUACAGAGAUGUAGAGGUCCUUCGGGACACUAGUCGAGGUGCUGCAUGGUUGUCGUCAGCUCGUGUCGUGAGAUGUUGGCUUAAGUGCCAUAACGAGCGCAACCCUUGUCGCCAGUUACCAUCAAGUAGUGUUGGGGACUCUGGCGAGACUGCCACCGCAAGGUGUGAGGAAGGCGGGGAUGACGUCAAAUCAGCACGGCCCUUACGUCCGGGGCGNACACACGUGUUACAAUGGUAGCUACAGAGGGAAGCCACCUGGUGACAGGGAGCAGAUCUCGAAAAGCUAUCUCAGUUCGGAUUGGAGUCUGCAACUCGACUCCAUGAAGCUGGAUUCGCUAGUAAUCGCGCAUCAGCCAUGGCGCGGUGAAUACGUUCCCGGGCCUUGUACACACCGCCCGU